GGAUAAAUCUUAUCAUCUUAAUAUUGUCUCAUAUGUUUUAAUUUUAUAUUUUAUACAACGUGAAUACAUAUUAGAUACCUAUGUAAAGUAUUGUCAACACUCGUAUGUCGUAAAUCAGUAUACCUACCUGUAGUGACGCAGUACCCUUUUUGAGUAAAAGUUGUUCUUCUGAAAUUACUUACAUUGACUAAUAAAAUGACAAGUAGUUAGAUUGAUUUUAAGUAGGUAUGUCUUCAAUUUUUAACAUUAGAAAUGAAAUAAUACAAAGUACAUGUACACGAAAAAGUAAAUUUGACAAGACUGUUCUUUGUGAUGAAUCUAAAGCAAAGAAAAUAUGUAGGUAAUCAAGAACGGUAUGAAUAUAAUGACGAUGAUGAAAAAAUAUGUUUUAAAUUUGAAUACAUAAUUUGAUGAUUUGAGUGAUAUUAAUUCGGAUCCCAAUCAACCUAAACUUCAAAAAUUUACACUAACAAAAUUUGAAAUUUGUAAUAGAUGUUCAAAUGCUGAAUAUUACAGUGAAUUUGAACGGCUAGAAAAUAAUGUCUCUUGUAAUGCUGUUUUUUGUUUGGAUUGUAUUUAUUUUGCAAAAAAUUUAUAAACUGAAAAAUUAACCAAAACUGGAUAUAAUAAUUGGAGAAAAUUGAAUGGGAGAUUGUUAAAACAAUAAAAAACUUUUCAACAUUUAAAAUUAACUACUCAGUAUAAGAGCUAUAACAGUUCAAAAUUGACUAGUUACUCAAUUAUCAACUGCAUGAAGUUUUAAAAAUAGACAAAAUAUGAAAGUAUUUAUAAUAUGUGCUAAAUAAGGACUUGCUCUAAGAGGUCAUGAUGAAAUGUUAUCAACAGUUUCUAUAUAUGAAAUAUUAAAGAACAGUGUUUAUUAUUUGUCAAGAACAAUAUAGUUUUCAGAUUUUUUUAACAGAACAAUUAACUAUACAAGUUUGAUCAUUCAAAAUAGUAUACUUGAAGUUUGUUCAAAUAUGAAAAUAAAUACUAUUAUUAGUGAAAUUAAAGUCUGUAAAAUGUACUCCAUUAUGUGUGACCAAGGAAGGAAUCAAAUACUUUAUUUAGUGCUCUAGAAGUAGUCUACAUACAUUUUUCACAAUAUAAUUAUGUGAAACAUGGUGGUCUUGUCAUUUAAAAUUUGUAAAGCAGUAUAUUAUAGUUUUGGUUUAAUAAUAAAUUUUUUACAAAAUAAAAUAAACAAAGAUACAACUAAAGAAAGGGCUCAAGCCAUAGAAAUGCUCCUCUGCAGAGUGUGCUUAGUGUAAUGAAAUGGCCUUUAGCAAAUAUUGGCGUAUUAAUUCGGCGAAGUGAUCCAUCAGUGGCUGAACGUUUCUCCAUGUCCACAGUCAAUUCCUCUUAAUUCAUUAGUACGCUUAUACUUUAAUAUGAUUAAAUAACUAUUGUAAACAUAAAAUAAAAUAUACAUAUGC
rnacentral:lncRNA from 1 species